rnacentral:rRNA from 1 species
GUAGGUGAACCUGCGGAGGGAUCAUUACCGAGUUUACAACUCCCAAACCCAAUGUGAACGUUACCAAACUGUUGCCUCGGCGGGAUCUCUGCCCCGGGUGCGUCGCAGCCCCGGACCAAGGCGCCCGCCGGAGGACCAACCAAAACUCUUUUGUAUACCCCCUCGCGGGUUUUUAUAUCUGAGCCAUCUCGGCGCCUCUCGUAGGCGUUUCGAAAAUGAAUCAAAACUUUCAACAACGGAUCUCUUGGUUCUGGCAUCGAUGAAGAACGCAGCGAAAUGCGAUAAGUAAUGUGAAUUGCAGAAUUCAGUGAAUCAUCGAAUCUUUGAACGCACAUUGCGCCCGCCAGUAUUCUGGCGGGCAUGCCUGUCCGAGCGUCAUUUCAACCCUCGAACCCCUCCGGGGGGUCGGCGUUGGGGAUCGGCCCUUUACGGGGCCGGCCCCGAAAUACAGUGGCGGUCUCGCCGCAGCCUCUCCUGCGCAGUAGUUUGCACACUCGCAUCGGGAGCGCGGCGCGUCCAUUGCCGUAAAACACCCAACUUUCUGAAAUGUUGACCUCGGAUCAGGUAGGAAUACCCGCUGAACUUAAGCAUAUCAAUAAGCG